UCGAACGACGAAGAAAGUUUGCGCAACCGUUGCAUAGAGCGUGCUUUACGACAGAGCGUAGGAAAGCUUCGGUUUUCGGUAAUUCGGUUUGGGAAUAUUCCUCCGCGGUAUUGAAAGUGGCCAAAAUAACAAAAUCGGAACACAAAACCAGCAGAAAAGCACAGCAUUGUAAUUUCGGAAGCGUGCCAAGCUGGAAGUGGUCGCCAUUGUCGAUGCGCUAGAAAAUUGACUUCCACGUCGCUGGCUGAAGGAAGGUGGUUUCCGGGGAAUAAACCGAAAUACCGACGAUAAGCACGAAAUAAGAUCGACACGUGUCCGUGCAGCAUUCGGAUCGAUCGCCAUAUUGGAUUGGCACCCUGUGAAAGCAGCGAGCACAACGGUUGCGAGAAGUUUACAUGAAGAUUGAUCCCUACUUCGAGGAGACCGACGCGAGCCUGAACUCACACCGAGUGGCAUUGGAGUGGGUCGCGUAGGAAGAGCGUGCGGAGUCAUCAAAAAAACCCCUACAUAGGGGUUUUUUCCUUUUAGUGGUUUCAUUCCGGCGACCCAGUGAGCGUGUUUCGUCGUAGCGAUUCUCCCCAGAGGCGGUGUCUAGACGGAAGAUUGAGUGCACCGACGUCUCGGACGCUGACGUGGCACGGCGAGCAGAGGCCGACGACAGGCGUGACAGGUCCCUCGGCCUAGUCAGACCCGACGCACCUGAGGAUUCGGAGUUUUGCUACGGUGGCGGACGCGAUGGGUGUCGACUGUGUAUGUGAUUGUGUGGAGUGAACGACCAGAACCCCGAGGAUUGUUGCAGAGCUGGCGUGCGUCAUGAUCAGGUGGUUGAGCAUCGAUCUUGCUUGAGUGGAGGGCUCGUGAGUACACUCUGAAGAUUAGUUUUAAGUGCAAACUAUUAUAUGCACGCCGAGAGCGUCAUUGAUAAGUGAUAGGGCAAGAGAAUAGGAGGAGGCCAGAAGGGCCAGGCAUAUACAAUGUGUAAAUAAAUAAUGU